UUUGUCUUAGAGUAUUACACAGUGUGUGGCUAUCUGCUUAAAGUAAUACAAUUGGGAUGAGGGCCUUUUCUAGGAGGUAAUAAGGUGGCUGUGAGCUCCAGCUCAGAGGCGGGCCCCUGCCACCUGCACGAGAAAUUUCCCCAGGCCACUUGUGAGGAUCGAGCCUCGAGCAGGAGCGUGUGUGGCCAGGUCCUGGUGAUAACGGGAGAGUCCCUGGCAGGGGUAGGGGGACGGGUACCCUCAGCAGCAUCAACAAAUGUGUUAGAAUAUUCAGAGCUACUCAUAAUUCACUUUUGCCGGGUCGAUGGAGAAGAGCAAACUCAAAGGGUCUGAGUUCUCAGCCACGCGGCAAAUCAGAGGCACACUCGGAACUCCUAGGAGUGUUCCAUCACCGGCUCACGAGGUGUCUCACAUGCUCAGCAAGUGGUAUUUUCCCACGAACUCUGCUGAUCCUCACUCAGAGGCUCUACAGUUGGCCCCGUCUUUGAGUCAGAACCAGCCCUUCGCUCUUCCCGGUAACUCCGAAUCGUGAGCACAUUCUCUGGAAUGGACUGUGCUGGCCCCAAAGCUUGUGUCUCGGGUUUUAGUGAGCGCACAGUAGUGGACAGCUCAACAGCAUUAUUGCCCUGGGAGGUGCCAGGACCAAUGUCCUUUAAAACCUGUGCUACAAUUUGGUUUCCUAAUCAGUCCUUGGGGAAAUUGAUUAAGGGUGGACGAUCGUGCAAGCCAUUUGCAACUUGGGGGAUUCCACGUCUUUUGGUUCUUGAAGAAAAUGAUAGUUUUAAGAAGGGUCAGAGGAAUGAAAACAUUAAUCUUGAAAUAUGUUCAACUAUGAAUAAGGUUGAAAGCAUUUUACUACGGCCGCGUCCUCAGAGGAUGGGAAAUGUCCCUGGGAAUAGGCUUUUCUCGAAACUUGUUAGACGUCAAUGCCCAGUCUGUGACACCGUGGAAAUGCCUCUGAGUGUCAGAGUCUGGAGGAUAGGAAUGAUGUCUAGUCAUGACUUAACCCUUUUAGCACCUAGGCCAGUGUUUUCAGUGUUUUGCCCCAGCAGGACUUUAGCAGUUGAUAGCGAUAUUAAAUUUAAAAAAUCUUUUAUAGUUUCCUCAGAGACAGAGUUAAUAAAAUUAUCCUGAGGAGUCCUUAGAAGGGGACGUACGUCUGAGUUACAUUUUUACAACACAUUAGUUUGAACAAACUAUUUUGAAAAUAAAGUGUAGUUCAGAUAUAUUUCUGAGUGACAUGGUUUUCUGAGCUUCAGAAACUAAAGGUUACCUUCCAUUUUAUACUCAUGGCGGUUAUCAAGGGAAACCACUAAAAUGUCUGUGAGCUUAGCAUUCGUUCGUUCAUCCAUCCCAGCACGUAUGGACCACUGCCAAAUACAGAUGUAUGCGUGCAACGAUCCAAAAAUAGGGAUAGGUAUGCAUGAGGAUGGCCCAGUUUAACCACCCAUUCAUCCCAUGUCACACGUCUAUUUGGGGGGCUGACAACAAGACUGAGGACCCUUAUCACCGAAGGAAAAUAGGAGAUCAACAGGGACAGAAGGCAAUAAAGGACCUUGGUAACAUUUUGGUCUUUACUUUCAUGUGCCUCUCGUAAUAUUCUUCCUUGUAGUGCUGGUCGCCCUGUAUGUCUAACUGCUUUAUCUGCUUAACGAGAUUAUUUGGCUCUUGGAGGGCGGGAAGAAAAUUGGGUAUUAUGUUUGUAUCUCCUCCCCCAGCCCCUCCGCAAGUCUUUCCAUAAUGGGCAUUUGUUGGGCUGGUAGAUGAGGCAGGAUAAGAUCAGACCAUCAAGAAAGAGUCUUUAUGAGGCCAACACUACCCUAAGCCACCGCAGCACACAACUACAGAAACAGGAAGACACAAAAACACUGGUAUUCAAUCCGAGCACGCCCUGUGUUGUUACGGAGCACAUGGCAACGCUCAAACAUGUUUGUCACAUGAGGCAGUGUGGCACAGUUGUUAAGGAGCCAGAUUCACUAGGCCCAAACCUCUCAGCUCCAGGACCUUUGGCAAGAUAUUUAACGUGGCCGUGAGAUGGGCGUAACGGUAACGAAUACCUGCGUGGAGCCAAGCACUAUGUAAGCGUACCCUAACAAAUAACUCGCUGACAAUGAUGACUUCAGACUAGACCAUACGUUGUCAGUGAUGGUGAAUUUGCCCCCAAGAGGGUGCAAGUUGAGUUUCGGUGCGGAGAGGGGAUGACGACGACGACGAACACAGGGGUUUGUGGGUCUCCAAAGGGGCACAGUGCUUACACAGGUGUAAUCUAUAUCCACAUUCCCUACAAUUUGAUGGGGGUGGGAGCAAUUAGCAAUAAAUGUCUAAAAGGCUCGUUGGGGACCAAUAAUGAAAGAAAGUCUGAGAAACAGUACUGGAGGAAUAAAGUUUCAGGUCAGUCCUAUUAUCGUUAAUCGUAUAUCAAACAUUUACCCUAACUUUAUUUCUUUAAUCCGCCUGGUAUGUUUUGAUUACGUGAACCCAAAUAUGUUUUACUUCCGCUGGCCAUCUGGUGUGGCAUUCUACCGUCUGAUUACACCCUCGUCAUAUCACAUUUCAAUAUUGUUGGUCUGUGAUUUAGAUACUUUAUUACAAGCCACUUCACAGAUGGGAACACUAAGGCCAAAGAGAUUAAGUGGUUUGCCUAAAGGUCACGCAACUUUAGAGGGUAGGCUCCCUAAGAAGGGGCUGUUUUCAACUCUAAUGCUAUACCGCCAAAAAUAAAUGCCUCUAACCUCUCAGAAGGAAAAGGUUUUUUGGGUUAGGUGGGUUCGGACAUGUUCAAGCUAAAAAACGCAUUGCCCUAUAGGCUAUCAGGACACUGAUUGCAACUGCCCUCUGGAUGGUUGGUGCCACUGUUCUCUGUUUUACAUGUAAAGCACCCAAACAGUCUAAUCUCUAGAACAGAUGAUUGCAAUCUGUAAACUAGGAGGGGUGAGCAGAUGGUCACGUGCUGCUCGCUGCUGUGAGUGUCCGAACUCAGCAUGAGGACGUGCCCAGCCCUUUCAGAACAUUCGCAUCCGUGUUACUGUGUUUUCGGUUGUGCACAGGCCGAGUGAUGGAUGGGCUGUGUGGGCGCGGCUGUGCGCAAACGCAUUUCAUCUCCCCGAAGCACAGGUCUCUAAAGCAGUGUUGAACUUAAGCAAAACGGUCCGCCGGGGCACCGACUGCGACAUCACCAGGUCCGUAGCGAUGCCUAACCUCCACGUUGGAGUAACACAUCCCAGUUCUCAAAAGGGUUCCAAGUGCAUGGUCUCGUUUGAUCUUCGUGCAAUUUUGUGUAGGCCAGAGGACAGUCAGGCCUUUCGAUUU